GCGCCUGUGCCAUGGACUCAGCCGCCCGGUGAUAUUGACAAUAGGAGAGAGAAAGGGGCAUUGACGGGGACCCUGCGCGGGUAGCGAACGGCGGCUCUGGCAGCGGCGGCUCAGGCGGCUCCAACUCUUCCUCCCGACUCCCGCGCUUGCUGCCGCUGCAAAUCCAGGCUUCCUCCCUCCUCCCCCUCCCCGCGUCGCCGCCGCCGCCGCCGCCGCCACCACCGCCGCCGGGUCCGGUGCAACGAGCAGAGGCGCCGCCCGCCGGGAAUGUGAACGAAGAGCCACCGGCCGCGCCGCAACCGGGUCGGUGCCGAUUUGAUGGGACGGGCCCGCGGGGGAGGCUCGUGAGGCCGCCGCUGCCACUGCCGGAGCGCUGAGGUUAGGGGCCAGCCGAGAGGCCUAGAAACACUGCCGCUACCGCGGAACCGGAGGGACGUCGCCCCGGACGGCCGUAGUAGCCCGGGGCUCUCCGCCGCUGCCUGGACCUCCCCCCGUGCGUCCCGGGCCGUCGCCCGCCCCCGCCGCGGCCCCUAGCUCGCAGCCCACUCCGCGCAGCCACAGAUCAUCUUCCGAUUCUUUCCCAGGAGCUUCAAGUAGGGAUAUGUCCUCAGCACCAACUACUCCUCCAUCAGUGGAUAAAGUAGACGGAUUUUCUCGGAAGUCCGUCAGAAAAGCCAGACAGAAGAGGUCGCAAAGCUCCUCCCAGUUCAGGUCUCAAGGCAAGCCCAUUGAGCUCACGCCUCUGCCACUGCUGAAAGACGUUCCAACCUCAGAGCAGCCUGAACUGUUCCUAAAGAAACUUCAGCAGUGCUGUGUCAUUUUUGACUUCAUGGACACGCUAUCUGAUCUUAAAAUGAAAGAAUACAAGCGCUCCACUCUUAAUGAACUGGUGGACUACAUUACAAUAAGCAGAGGCUGUCUGACAGAGCAGACUUACCCUGAAGUAGUUAGAAUGGUGAGUUUCCUUUUUCGCCGCUGACACUUUAAGCAUCUUCCAUAGCCACUCAUGGGUGUAUUGAUUGCAGUGAGGUCACCGAGGUCUCCUCCACAAACAAAAACCAGCCUCCUGAGAGCUAGAUGCCAGCAGUCAGCGCAGCACUAGGAUUUGAAGAGCACGAUUUCAUGACGAAGAAACCCAGACCACCCCACCGACUGCAGCAUUGAAGGAGUGGCCUCAGAGCAUGAAGCUGAGGGCCAGGGUGCCAUGGAUUUCUGCAAAGACACAAGAGAAUCAACCAGUUUUAGAUCUGAGUGAAACGAUUCAAGCCUGUUGAGUAUCUUAACCGCACCACCUGUACAUUGUGGCAUAUUAGAAAUGGCAUCGUAUUUAAUAAAAUUAUGACGCAGAGGAUCUGGUUAAGGUCUCUCUUGGCUUUAUAAUG
rnacentral:lncRNA from 1 species